rnacentral:rRNA from 1 species
CCUACGGGCGGCUGCAGUGGGGAAUCUUGCGCAAUGGGGGGAACCCUGACGCAGCGACGCCGCGUGCGGGACGGAGGCCUUCGGGUCGUAAACCGCUUUCAGCAGGGAAGAGUCAAGACUGUACCUGCAGAAGAAGCCCCGGCUAACUACGUGCCAGCAGCCGCGGUAAUACGUAGGGGGCGAGCGUUAUCCGGAUUCAUUGGGCGUAAAGCGCGCGUAGGCGGCCCGGCAGGCCGGGGGUCGAAGCGGGGGGCUCAACCCCCCGAAGCCCCCGGAACCUCCGCGGCUUGGGUCCGGUAGGGGAGGGUGGAACACCCGGUGUAGCGGUGGAAUGCGCAGAUAUCGGGUGGAACACCGGUGGCGAAGGCGGCCCUCUGGGCCGAGACCGACGCUGAGGCGCGAAAGCUGGGGGAGCGAACAGGAUUAGAUACCCCAGUAGUC